AGCUAAAAGCCACCCCCUCUCCCUCUCGAUCCACUCUUCCCCUUUCCGUCUUUUGUUUCUUCCUUCUUCCUGAAUCGUGCUUCUCGAUCAACCAGAGGGAGAAGGUGGGGAAGAGAGGACAAUUGCUUUCAUGAGAAGACUAGGACGUGCAAAUUCUAAAACUCCACUAUUGGGACACAGUUGUGAAAAAGGAACUAUUAAGCACCCAUUUCCUAUGAAAUAUUUCCUAAAACCAUGGAAACUUGGUCGAUGGUUUUACCAAGUUGUCAAGUUCGGCAUUGUUCAAUAUAUGAUAAUCAAGAUAUUGACUGCUCUUUUAGCAGUAAUUCUUGAAGCUUUUGGUAUGUAUUGUGAAGGAGAAUUCAAUUGGGAAUGUGGGUAAGAUGAUCUUAAUGUAGAAUGUUGCUGGUGAUAUUGAGGAUUUUGUGUGAUUUAUCAGUAGAAAGACCUUUUUUUUCUGGUUAGAAGAAAGUAAUUCUAAAAGAUUGUGAUCCAUAUUGAUGCCUCUUUUGGUGCUUCACCCGCUAAGCAACAAGCCACCUAAAACCUAAACUUAUGAUGUUUCACUUGUGAGCCCAAGUUUGUGUUUAAAAUAUUCUAGUAUUCCACUGUUGCAUUUAAA